rnacentral:lncRNA from 1 species
CAUAUAUAUAUAUAAGUAGCGGUACAUCAAUUAAUAUCUAUCCAUUCAUCAGUAGGCCGCUUCUAACAUUUCUCCACACGAAAAAUGUUCGUGGUUAAUUUAAUAGCAGUUAUACUUUUGACCAACGUCAUUUCUAUCGGUUCAAAUCCUGUCAGAUACUUAGCAGCAAAUCCGGCAAACUUACUCUGCAUAUAUCCGUUUGGUUAUUAUUUUGUUAAUGGAUACAGAUAUAGGAUCUCCAACUGCAACACAGCUAACGAUCGCGUGUACUUUCAUUACCACGACAAUUAUCACGCGCAAAAUCCGGCUAGAAAUGUGAUAUAUCAGUAAAAAGUUAUGCAAUGCAUCAUAAAACAACCUUUACACAUCAGGAAUAAUUUUAUCAUCGAUCA